AUGAUCAAGUCCGGUGCCUCAUGCGCUAGCCCUGUGUACGAACCAGCCUCGGCGUCUCCUUUUCAAGCAUCCAGCCACCCUAUGUAAGGUCUUCUGUCAGAGAGAAAUCCGUCUCUCAACAUAACUCUUCUCCAUUCCUUCUUCUUCAUGUGACUCUGAAGCUUGAGUAUCGGAUUACUCGACCAGUGAAAGACCGUCAGUUAUUGCCUCGAGCUGUAGAUAUUCCUCGGUAGGGUUUUCAGUUCGACUUCGGUCUAGAAAGGACAGUCAUGGUGAAGGCAGAGAAAAAUAACCCUGGAUGGAGCAAGUUUGGUUCUGAGAAUCCUCCACCUGCUAAGUUUCCAGCACCAACACCUUCUAUGGUAAAGCUUCUUUCACUUCCGUAAAAGGUUUUGUUCUAUGGAAACUUCUUAUAGAGUUAGGUUUGUGUUCUUGGAUGAAUAAGCAUGGAUCAUCCAUCAUCUAUGAACGUUCGUAACUAACACACCAUAUUUAUAUGCGUAGUAAUAGAUGGGAAUUGGGUCAAAAUAGAUCGUUGAUUAGUGUGGUGUGGUACUUAGGUUUUGAUUAUCAUCAUUAUCAAUGGAUUCCAGUGCAAACGUGUAGAUUAUCAUCAUCAACAGGUUUGUUUUGUGUGCUCAUUUAUGUGAAUUCUCUCCAUCUAUCUAUAUUCACACAUAUAUAUACUUUCUGAUGUAGUGUAGCUUUCCGCUUCAUCACUUUCAGUGUACUGAUUAACUCAUGGUUUUGUCUAUAUGCUGCCACAGAAAAUAGGACACCUUACUUUUGACAAAUAUGACCAGUUAGCUAUAGAAUUUGUCAUUGCUCCUGCAAAUAUUGGUGCGUAGUCUUUUGGAAUUCCUCAGCACAGUCUUUUAAAGCCAAAGGUAUUGCUGGGAUCAUUGUUCAUGCCGUUGCUAAGACUAACGCCAUUGUUGCUGGUUUGAUUGUUAUUGAAGCAAUAAAAGUGCUGAAAAAGGAUGUGGACAAGUACAGUCUGUUACUUUAAAACUUUCUUUCACCGUAUUUCAUAAGCUUCAGAAUACUUAGUAUCUUAUUUAAAUCAUUUUAUUCCAAUAUCUAUCUGUGGAAUGACAUAUUGCUUAGAACACCCAAGCCAAGAGAUACUUCUUAUGCCAUUUGAGCCUAAUCCAUAUUGUAUUUACGA